rnacentral:rRNA from 1 species
GAGUUCCCUUCGGGGACAUUGGUGACAGGUGGUGCAUGGUUGUCGUCAGCUCGUGUCGUGAGAUGUUGGGUUAAGUCCCGCAACGAGCGCAACCCUUGUCUUUAGUUGCCAUCAUUAAGUUGGGCACUCUAGAGAGACUGCCAGGGAUAACCUGGAGGAAGGUGGGGAUGACGUCAAAUCAUCAUGCCCCUUAUGCUUAGGGCUACACACGUGCUACAAUGGGUAGUACAGAGGGUUGCCAAGCCGUAAGGUGGAGCUAAUCCCUUAAAGCUACUCUCAGU